CAAAGGUUUGGUCCUGACUUUUCUACCAGCUCUAGCUAAACUUACACAUGCAAGUAUCCGCGCCCCCGUGAGAAUGCCCUAUAGUUCCCUGCCCGGGAACAAGGAGCUGGUAUCAGGCACAUAAACCUAGCCCACGACGCCUUGCUCAGCCACACCCUCAAGGGUACUCAGCAGUGAUAAACAUUGACCCAUAAGUGAAAACUUGACUCAGUUAAAGCUAAGAGGGCCGGUAAAACUCGUGCCAGCCACCGCGGUUAUACGGGAGGCCCAAGUUGUUAGAAGUCGGCGUAAAGGGUGGUUAAGAACAAGCUUAAAAUUAAAGCCGAACACCUUCCGAGCUGUUAUACGCAUCCGAAGGUAAGAAGCUCAAUUACGAAAGUAGCUUUAUAAUUUCUGAACCCACGAAAGCUAGGACACAAACUGGGAUUAGAUACCCCACUAUGCUUAGCCGUAAACAUUGACAGUCUAUAACAUUUUCUGUCCGCCUGGGGACUACGAGCAUUAGCUUAAAACCCAAAGGACUUGGCGGUGCUUUAGACCCACCUAGAGGAGCCUGUUCUAGAACCGAUAAUCCCCGUUCAACCUCACCCCUCCUUGUCCAUCCCGCCUAUAUACCACCGUCGUCAGCUUACCCUGUGAAGGAUAAAAAGUAAGCAAAACUGGUACUACCCAGCACGUCAGGUCGAGGUGUAGCGAAUGGAGGGGGAAGAAAUGGGCUACAUUCCCUUAUCUACAGGGAACCACGAAUGGCAUACUGAAAAUGUGUGCCUGAAGGAGGAUUUAGCAGUAAAAGGAAAGUAGAGUGUUCCAUUGAAGCCGGCUCUUAAGCGCGCACACACCGCCCGUCACUCUCCCCGAGACCUUAACUUACAUUAACUAAAAUGCCAGAAUCAUAGAGGGGAGGCAAGUCGUAACAUGGUAAGUGUACCGGAAGGUGCACUUGGAAAAC
rnacentral:ncRNA from 1 species